rnacentral:tRNA from 1 species
GAGGAUAUAGGUCAGUGACAGAGCACUUGCUUAGGAUGCAUGAGGCCCUGGGUUUGAGUCCCAGUACUUCA